rnacentral:tRNA from 1 species
GGGGGCGUGGCGAAAUUGGUAACCGCGCAUCACUUGGAAUGAUGUGAGCCAUACAGCGUUCAACUUGACUGGCUCUGCGGGUUCGACUCCCGCCGUCCCCA